CAGGUGCUGCAUGGCUGUCGUCAGCUCGUGUCGUGAGAUGUUCGGUUAAGUCCGCUAACGAGCGCAACCCUCACUGUGUGUUACAUGUGUCACACGGGACUGCCGGUUUUAAGCCGGAGGAAGGCGAGGAUGACGUCAAGUCAGCAUGGCCUUUAUAUCUUGGGCUACACACACGCUACAAUGGUCUGUACAAUAGGUUGCCAAGCCGCGAGGCGGAGCCAAUCCUUAAAGCAGGCCUCAGUUCAGAUUGCAGGCUGCAACCCGCCUGCAUGAAGAUGGAGUUGCUAGUAACCGCAGGUCAGCUAUACUGCGGUGAAUACGUUCCCGGGUCUU
rnacentral:rRNA from 1 species